rnacentral:rRNA from 1 species
UACGGGGGGAGCAAGCGUUGUUCGGAUUUACUGGGCGUAAAGGGCGGGUAGGCGGCCACCGCAAGUCAGUUGUGAAAUCUCUGAGCUUAACCCAGAAAGGUCAACUGAUACUGCGGGGCUAGAGUGCAGAAGGGGCAACUGGAAUUCUCGGUGUAGCGGUGAAAUGCGUAGAUAUCGAGAGGAACACCUGCGGCGAAGGCGGGUUGCUGGGCUGACACUGACGCUGAACUGCGAAAGCUAGGGGAGCGAACGGG